rnacentral:lncRNA from 1 species
UGAGAGGAUUUCUUUAUUUCGCGUUCAGACCCAACACACUCGGACACCUUGGGGCCCUGUGAGGGCUAAGCAGGGUGGUGGCGUCAGCUCCCGGGGAGGCCCCACUCCCUGGGGAGGAAAUACACGGCAGGGGGCCGCACCCAGCCCCCCACGGAGGGACCCGUGUUGCUCUAACAGGGACACUGAAGUUGCCUCUGCCGCCCCGUGAGGGGCCUGUGGCGGCCCCAGACCCAGCCCAGCCAGGCCAGAGGAGCCUCCCAGGGGCCCUCAGGUGGUGAGGUGGGGGCUUCCCGGCCCCGGUGCCCACCGGCCCUUCUAGCUGCCUGUGCUGGGCCAGGUGUCCUCUGAGGCCGGCAGGAGUCUGGCCCCCGCUGCACCUGCGCUUGGUGGCUGGCAGGGGCGGGGUAGGGAGGUCACCCUCGAGGCCGGGGUCCCCAUGUGCUAGGGGAAGACCUGCCUUCCCAGCCAGUGUCCACAGGGCAGCAAUUCCACGCUCUGAGGCUCAGGGACCAAGGCAGGGCUGGGCAUGGGGCUCAGGGCCUUGGAGGUUUUUCUCAGCUCUCAACAUCACAGCACAGGGCCCGUGAGUCACCCCAGUCCUCUGGGCCUGUGUACCCAAGCCGGAUGCAGGCCGGGGAGUGCACGUGGGGCUCCUCUGUGGCGCCAGUGUGAAGCUGCUCUCCGGGGCGGUCGCAGCCUCCAAACCCUGGUGCUACGAGUCCGUGCCUCAGGCCCAGGGACCACAGGCCGUCUGCUCAUGGCUGAAAAUGAGGCCAAGCAGCUCCCAAGUCUCGAAGACUCCACUGGUGUGGAGGCAGAGGGGCCCUUCCAGGGCAGGGCAGCCCUCGGGGCAGCAGCAGGGGCAAGGGCUCUGUCUCACGCACACGGGCACAGGCACGCAGGUGCCGGCCCUGCCGCUGGCUCCCAAGAGGCCGAUAGCCCGGUAGGGAGGUCACACACACACAGCUGAUCCCUGGAGGUAAAGAAACCUAGACGAGGAGAGUGGAGGCUGGGCCUGCGCAAGGAGGCGCCAAGGGGGGAGACCACUGCCCACAACAGGGUCAGUCCCGCGAGAGGGUCAGUUCCGCGCCUGCCGCCUGCCCGCCCAGCUGCAGGGUGCUCGC